rnacentral:rRNA from 1 species
UUCAGAUCUCUAUUGAAGCAAGAAGACCCCCUGAAUUUAAGCAUAUAAUUAAGGGGAGGAAAAGAAACCAACUCGGAUUCCCCUAGUAACGGCGAGUGAAGCGGGAAGAGCUCAUGUUGUAAAUCUCCAGCUUGCUGGCGAAUUGUAGUCUAAAGGUGCGUGCUCAGUCGUGGUCCCGGGCUAAGUCUGUUGGAAAACAGCAUCAUGGACGGUGACAAUCCGGUUCUUGCCUGGGGUCCCGCGGCGUACGAGCCGUUUCCGACGAGUCGUGUUGCUUGGGAUUGCAGCACUAAGUGGGUGGUAAAUUCCAUCUAAAGCUAAAUAUUGGUGGGAGACCGAUAGCGAACAAGUACCGUGAGGGAAAGAUGAAAAGACUUUUGAAAAGAGAGUAAAAUAGUACCUGAAACUGCUGAAAGGGAAGCGAUUGAAGUCAGUGUUGCUCCUGGUCUUUUUGCCGUCGCCCCCGUGGGGGUUGCGGCGUGGGGCCUGGAGCGUUUCAACAUGCGUUCUGUUCCGCGGGAAAUGUUCAGUGUGCUGGAACCUUCGGGGAAACGCACUGUUCUUGUCGUGGUUAGGACGGAGGACCUUUGCUCCUUUGACUGCGCGUUCCUCUCUCGGGUAUGCUGGUGUCUACUGCUUGCAGUUUUCAUUUUCAUGCUUGCGACUGUGCGUGUUAUUCAUGAGCGAACAUGAUGUUGAAGAAAUGGCUUUAAUUACCCCGUCUUGAAACACGGACCAAGGAGUCUAACAUACGUGCGAGUACUAUGGUGGCAAACCAUUGUGCGCAAUGAAAGUGAAGGCUGGCUUCCGUCAGCUGAGGUGGGAUCCGCAAGGAGCACCAUCGACCGACCAUGUUCCUUCGGGGUAAAGGUUUGAGUGUGAGCAUUUAUGUUGGGACCCGAAAGAUGGUGAACUAUGCCUGAAUAGGGCGAAGCCAGGGGAAACUCUGGUGGAGGCUCGUAGCGAUUCUGACGUGCAAAUCGAUCGUCAAAUUUGGGUAUAGGGGCGAAAGACUAAUCGAACCAUCUAGUAGCUGGUUCCCUCCGAAAUUUCCCUCAGGAUAGCUGCAACCGGUUAAGAGUUUUAUCAGGUAAAGCGAAUGAUUAGAGGAUUCGGGGACGGAAUGUCCUCGACCUAUUCUCAAACUUUAAAUGGGUAAGAACCCGGGGUUGCUUAAUUGAACCCUGCGGUCGAAUCUCGGUUGCUAGUGGGCCAGUCCGGGUAAGCUGGACUGGCGAUGCGGGAUGAUCCGAACGCUGAGUUAAAGUGCCUAACUGCUCGCUCACCUAGAUCCCACAAAAGGUGUUGGUUCAUCCAGACAGCAGGACGGUGGCCAU